rnacentral:rRNA from 1 species
UACAGAGGUCUCAAGCGUUGUUCGGAUUCAUUGGGCGUAAAGGGUGUGUAGGUGGCGCCGUAAGUCGGGUGUGAAAUUUCGGAGCUUAACUCCGAAACUGCAUUCGAUACUGCGGUGCUUGAGGACUGGAGAGGAGACUGGAAUUUAUGGUGUAGCGUGAAAUGCGUAGAGAUCAUGAGGAAGACCAGUGGCGAAGGCGGGUCUCUGGGAC